rnacentral:lncRNA from 1 species
GGUCAUUCAGACCCUGGAACCCAAGCAGAGGCCACCCAGUGUGGUGUCCCCAGAAUUCCAUACUCUAAGGUCACAGCUCUGGGAGCGGAACAUGCGAAUACGGCAGCUGGAGAUGGACUAUGAGAAGAGUCGGAGUCGGCAGGAGCAGGAGGAAAAGCUGCUCAUCAGUGCCUGGUACAGCAUGGGCAUGGCCUUGGAGCAUCGGGCUGGGGAAGAGCAUGCCCCUGCCCAUGCCCAGUCCUUCCUGGCACAGCAAAGACUGGCCACCAAUGCUCGCCGAGGACCCCUGGGGCGCCAGGCAUCUCUGAGCCUUCGCCCCACUGACAAGCACUGACAGACCUCGACUUCCUGCUGCCUGCUGAAGUCUUCCAGUUUACAUUUACCCAGGCUGGGGCUUUGACCUCGAUGGAGACUGACUUCUGCCCUCUGCUUCCUUAGAUGGGAGAGAAGGGGAAGGCAGGUGGCAGGUGUAGGACUAUUCCUUUUAGCAAUGUGAUUCUUCUUGAUUCUUCUCCUGGGCCUCAUGUACUACCUGGGAAGAGCCUGAUUUUAUAUUUGAAAAAAAAAAUAAAGACUUUAAAUCUGUCUUGAAUGUACUCUAGACACAAUGGUGAGGAAUAAAAAUUGCACUAGGGACACAGACGGUUACUUUUAAAAUAAAUGUAUGAGCAUUUUUGCCCAUCUGU